AGAACAAGUUGACCGGCUUCCGAUUAUUUUAUCAUCAUCAGGUAAAUUUCAACUGUUAGGAGUUCCUAAACUAGAAUCUGGGACUGGACAAAACCAAGCUUCAGCUAUUAUUAAAACAGUAAAACAAUGGGAUAUUAAUACUGACAACAUCAAAGCAUUGUGUUCUGAUACUACGGCGUCAAAUACGGGAAUCAGAAAUGGUGCGUGUGUAUUAGUAGAAAAGGCUCUUAGUAGAAAACUGUUGUACUUGCCAUGCCGACACCAUAUUUUUGAAAUUGUUCUUCGAAGUGCAUUUGAAGUAUACUGGCCUGCUUCGUCUGGCCCAAACGUUCCAAUUUAUCAGAGAUUUAAAAAGAAGUGGGAUGAAAUUGACCAAUCAAACUUUACGGCUGGUAUUUGUGACAAAAAAGUUUUGGAAGUAAUAACACCAAUCAAAGAUGAGAUUUUGAAAUUCGUUAAUAA